rnacentral:rRNA from 1 species
UACGUAGGUGGCAAGCGUUGUCCGGAUUUAUUGGGUUUAAAGGGUGCGUAGGCGGCCCUGUAAGUCAGUGGUGAAAUACUCUAGCUUAACUAGAGGGGUGCCAAUGAUACUGCAGGGCUUGAGUACAGAUGAGGUAGGCGGAAUUGACGGUGUAGCGGUGAAAUGCAUAGAUAUCGUCAAGAACACCGAUAGCGAAGGCAGCUUACUGGGCUGUAACUGACGCUGAGGCACGAAAGUGUGGGGAUCAAACAGG